rnacentral:rRNA from 1 species
UGAGGAAUUUUCCGCAAUGGACGAGAGUCUGACGGAGCAACGCCGCGUGCAGGAUGACGGCCUUCGGGUUGUAAACUGCUUUUCUGGGGGACGAGCAAGGACGGUACCUCAGGAAUCAGCCCCGGCUAACUACGUGCCAGCAGCCGCGGUAAUACGUAGGGGGCAAGCGUUGUCCGAAGUUACUGGGCGUAAAGCGCCCGCAGGCGGUCGUGAACGUUUGGGAUGACAGGGGUCGGCUUACCCGAUCAAGCGUUUCAAAGACGGCACGACUUGAGGACCAGAGAGGGACAGGGAAUUCCGAGUGGAGUGGUGAAAUGCGUAGAUAUUCGGAGGAACACCAAAGGCGAAGGCACUGUCCUGGAUGGUACCUGACGCUCAGGGGCGAAAGCCAGGGGAGCGAACGGGAUUAGAUACCCCCGUAGUCC